GGAGUUACGUCAUUAAUAUCCCUCGCCACUCACGAUACAUACCAUUAUAAAAGUUUCAAAUUUAAUAAGAUAUUUUUUCAUUUCGCUACUGUGAACUUUUUUUUCUUUAUUUCAAAAUCGUGCUCAUUUCGUUCAAACAUAUCACUUCUAAAUUAUUCAUCGUCGGAGACGAGUGCUACCCGGAAAUAAUUCGGUGCGACACUGUGGAUUUAAUGGUUCCUAUCCGUGUUCGGGAUCGGCUCGCCUCUCAUUGUUUACAUGUUAAAAUGAUAUUCAGCUCCCGUUUCGGAGACUGUCAUCGGCAAAGGAUUUACUAUCAUCUUUAAAUGAAGAUGAAUACCAACAAAUCCACGUGAGAAACUAAAGUGCGGGACGACAUUUUUUAAUGCAGACUUGUCUCCAAGUAGCCCCGGAUGCUAGCUAUUUCAGCUCCCUUAUCAAUGUGUCGCCCGUUUAUCCAGAGAUGACGAGUUAGUCCACAUUGUUUAUCAAAUUUUGCUUCUGCUCGGGCCCCGAACAUAACAGCCUAACUAUGGAGGUAUAGCACCAAAUGAGCCUUCAGGCCCCGUUAACAUCUUGACACGAGAACUUCUGCACUGCAGGGUGCGCAAUGUUUGGUGCGCCUCAAAGUUCGAAGUCUGAAUUCCUGGACAAAGCCAGGCAGGCCAGAGAGGAGAGGAAAGGUCAGAAGGAGAAGGAGAGGGCGGCAAUCCUCAUCCAAGCCCUGGUCAGGCGAUUUCUAUUUCGCUGCAGACUCCAGAAGCAAAUAAGGAAAGAGGUUGAUGACUAUUUUGAAUCUGCUGCUGCAACAUCCAAAAGAAAUGCACUUUCAAUUUUUAAAAUUGCUCGUAAAUUACUAUUCAUUUUCCAGUUGGAGGAUAAAGCAAGGUUUGAGAAACUCUGUCGAGCUAUUCUCGCCAGCAUGGAAGUUGAAAACGAGCCUAAAGUCUGGUAUGUGUCUUUGGCGCUCUCCAAAGAUCUAACAAUCCCUUGGCUAAAACAGAUCAAAGACGUGCUGUGGACCUGCUGUCAACUACUGAAAAACUUAAAGCCUGAUAUACUGCAGGACAACAAAUUGGUAACACUGUACCUCACCAUGCUGGUCACAUUCACAGACACAUCAACGUGGCGGAUUGUGAGAGGGAAGGGGGAAGCCCUCCGGCCGGCCUUGGCGAGAAUCUGUGAGAAUAUCAUGGGUUACCUCAAUCAAAAGGGAUUCUAUUCAACACUACAGAUUUUGCUGACCAACGGCUUGGCCCGCUCCAAACCGGCUCUCUCUAAAGGCACUUUAACAGCAAUUUUUACUCUCUCGUUACGACCAGUCAUCGCUGCUCACUUCUCAGACAACCUGCUCCGAUCAUUCCUCAUUCACAUUAUGUCAGUUCCAGCUGUGACGUCACACCUGUGCGUGCUCGCUCCAGAGUGUAUUAGUUCGAUCCAGACACAUGGGCUUUUAAAGAAGCUCAUCGUAUUUCUCAGCCGCGAGGAGCAGUGUUCUGAUAUCUGCGUGUGUCUUGAAGGGAGCCACACACUCUGCUUACUCGGCAACCUGAUCCACUUGGGCUUCCUCAACGAGCGAAUCAUAGAGGAGGAGACCAGCCGCUUUGUGAAGGACUUGACUGACAUGCUGUCCUACUGCCAGAGAUAUGUGUCCCAAAAGAAGUCCAACCUCACCCACUGGCACCCUGUCCUGGGCUGGUUCUCCCAAACUGUGGACUACGGUCUUAACGAAUCGAUGCCGCUGGUCACCAAGCAGCUGCAGUACCUGUGGGGCGUGCCCGUCAUCCGGACCCUCUUCAGUGACGUCCUCUCCAAGAAGCUAGAGAGUCAGGAGCCCAGUUCCUCGCCCGCACUCCCCAGCACAUCCCAAAAUAACCUGCCGGUUAAAAGCCUUUUCAAGCGGGCGUUUCAGAAGUCCGCCUCCGUACGAAACAUCUUGAAACCAGUGGGGGGGAAAAGAGUGGACUCGGUUGAAGUUCAGAAGGUGUGCAGCAUUUGUGUCCUCUACCAGACGGCGCUAUCCACGCUGACGCAAAUACGGCUCCAGAUUCUCACCGGUCUGACACAUCUGGACGACCUCCUCCCCAAAUUGUGGGCUUUCAUCUGCGAGCUCGGCCCGCAGGGAGGCCUAAAACUUUUCAUGGAGUGUCUAAACAACGACACUGAAGAGUCCAAGCGGCUCCUCGCUAUGCUCAUGCUGUUCUGCGACUGUUCACGGCACCUCAUCACAAUCCUGGAUGACAUCGAAGUCUACGAAGAGCAGACCUCUUUCAAAAUAGAGGAGCUCCUCACCAUCUCCUCAUUUCUCAACACGUUUGUGUACAAAAUGAUUUGGGAUGGCAUUCUGGAGAAUGCAAAGGGGGAGAAACUGGAGCUAUUCCACAGCGUUCACGGCUGGUUGAUGGUCCUUUAUGAACGUGACUGUCGCCGACGAUUCACCCUCGAUGACCACUGGUUACGCAAGGACUUAAAACCCAGUUUGUUGUUCCAAGAGCUUGAGAAAGGCAAGAAACGAGCCCAGCUGUUACUGCAAUAUAUCCCACACGUUAUUCCUCAUAAAAAUAGGGUUCUGCUGUUUAGGAACAUCGUCACGAAAGAAAAAGAGAACCUCGGCUUGGUGGAGACCAGCUCCGCCUCGCCGCACGUCACCCACAUUACCAUUCGCCGCUCACGCAUGUUAGAGGACGGUUACGAUCAGCUCCGCCGCUUGCCUGUGAAUUCCAUAAAAGGCGUCAUUCGCGUCAAGUUUGUCAACGACCUGGGAGUGGAUGAAGCCGGCAUCGACCAAGACGGUGUCUUUAAAGAGUUUCUCGAAGAGAUUAUUAAGAAAGUGUUCAACCCUGCUCUUAACCUAUUCAAGACGACGAGCGGAGACGAGAGGUUGUACCCGUCGCCGACUUCCUACAUCCAUGAGAACCACCUGCAGCUGUUCGAGUUUGUGGGGAAGAUGUUAGGGAAAGCGGUUUACGAGGGGAUUGUGGUGGAUGUCCCUUUUGCCUCGUUUUUCCUCAGUCAGGUUUUGGGUCAUCAUCACAGCACCUUCUAUAGUUCCAUUGAUGAGCUGCCCUCGCUGGACUCGGAGUUUUACAAGAACCUCACGUCCAUCAAGCGCUAUGACGGAGAUGUAGGGGAUCUGGGACUUUCGUUGUCUUAUGAUGAAGAUGUUAUGGGAGAGCUAGUUUGUCAUGAGCUGAUACCCGGAGGGAAGACCAUGCCUGUCACCAAUGAAAAUAAGUUCAGCUACAUCCACCUCAUGGCUCACUUCCGGAUGCACACGCAGAUUAAGGAGCAAACUGCAGCUUUCAUUCGGGGCUUUCGCAGCAUCAUCAACCCGGAAUGGUUGCACAUGUUUUCCACGCCCGAGGUUCAGCGUCUGGUCUCGGGAGACAACGCUGAAAUUGACUUGGAUGACCUCAAGAAGCACACGGUCUACUACGGCGGUUUUCACAGCAGCCACCGCGUCAUCAUCUGGCUUUGGGACAUCUUGUCCAGUGAUUUCACAGCUGAGGAGAGGGCAAUGUUCCUCAAAUUUGUCACAAGCUGCUCAAGACCUCCUCUCCUAGGUUUUGCCUACCUCAAGCCACCAUUUUCGAUCCGGUGUGUGGAAGUGUCAGAUGAUCAGGACACGGGGGACACCCUCGGCAGCGUCCUCAGAGGCUUUUUCACGAUCCGUAAAAAGGAGCCCGGCGGCCGACUGCCCACUUCCUCCACUUGCUUCAACCUGCUCAAGCUGCCCAACUACAGCAAGAAGAGCAUCUUGCGUGACAAGCUGCGCUACGCCAUCAGCAUGAACACCGGCUUUGAGCUUUCGUAGUACUCAACUGUUGCAAAAUGGACGACCCGCAACAGGAUGAAGUCGCCGGAGCCGAGCAAAAAGAUUUUUUUUUUUUUUUUUUUUUUUUUUUUUUAGGUGGGAUGGGCUCCGGUGCUGUCUGAGGAAAUUUCUACAAAGUAGUCUUUUGUUUUAUUUUAACACCCCCGAGGUUACUAUUUAACUCCCUUCCGGCAAAAAAUCUGAUUCGCCGUGUCCCCGUGCCGCGCAUAAAAUCCAAGUUCAUAUCCAAUAUUUAACUCUCACUUCGCAGAUCUCAGUUCCUCAGGCUUGAUAUAAUCUUUUAUUUUUCUUUCGCUCGAACAUUCCCACCAUACGAGAACUGGAAAGCAAUACAGAUGCGACGCAAGCAAGCCAUUAGAGCCACGAAAAAAACGGAGUUGGUGCAUUGGUAAUAAUGCGCGGCCAGUUUUGAACUUUGGCAUCCAAGCAUCAUUUUGCGAGUUAUGAAAUUACCGCAGUCCACGUGUUUUGCAUUGUCUAAAAUGUCAUUUUGUCCGAGUAGAAGACAAAUCAAUGGACUUUCGUCGUCUGUGUUGAUCUCAAUUCAGUUUCCACCCUCUUAAGGACGCAGACUUUUUUUUUUUUUUUUAGUUUAUAAUGGUUUAUAAACGUUGUGUGUAUUAAAAAAAUAUAAGGACGCUAUGCUUCAUUUGUGGCGAAGCAUCGAGAUUUCUGGACAUGGAAAGAUCCAUCAAUUUUUGUUUUUGUAAUACAAAGGUGAUGUCCGCCCGAUCAUGUCUCAAAUUUAUUGAGGUUUUGUACUUCACGCUAGAGAACCAGAACUUUUCUCACGCCACCUUUUAAAUAACGCCGAGUGCCUCAUGCAUCGCCAUCCUCCCCGCCGCGCUGUCACCUCGACCUUUUUCCGACGACUCCGAGUCAAGCCGACAAUGUUGUAUAUUGGAAACAAGCCAUAGAAGCGGGGGCUGGGCUUAAAUUUUGGGAACCCAACCACUGUAAUACCACUAUAACGACUACGUUAUAAUCAACGUUGUUGAUCCUAUGACAAUGCCCUCUGUGGACUUUCUAAGCCAUGUUGUGACGUAUUAUCCGUUUAAACGAGCCUCCCGACACGAUGUCAUGGACUGGAUCGCCAGCUGAGACGGACUGACUCCUGCAUGAUUUCAUUUUUCCUUUGGAUGGUUCAUCGUUAUGGAAAAUGUUUCUGCUCUUGGGUAACUUUUAGGACUAAGUGUCAGCUUAGUCACUCGUGGACCUACCAGAAAUAGAAAUGCAGCUUUGAAAGAAAGGCUGGAAAAGCAAGCAUAAAAUCUCAACCAAAUCUGUCAUUAUGCAAAAAAAACCCAACAAAAUCCACAACCACCAACAUCAGUAAAAUCUUUUGUCAUUUGUUACCACCUCCAGGUCAUCACGACCAUUUUACUGACCAGCAACUUGUGUGAAAACGGGUUUGGCGUCAAAUCUUUACAGACUUAAUUUCUGUCCCUCAAAGUAAACCUAAAUAAUUUACUCUAAUAUAUGGAAGAUUUAAAAAGUCUACACACCCCGGUUCAAAUGCAAAGUUCUUGAAAUGUCAAAAAAGGGGAAGAGAAUCUUAUUCCACUGUGUGUGGAUCAUGUGACCUUUAACCUAUCCACCUCGAUUGAGAAGUAUGGUGUCCUUUUGGUGAUGAGCAGUGUUGUGUUUUUGCCGAAACUGCCAUUUGAGCAGGGGGUGUGCAGACUUUCAAUAUCCGCUGUAUUUCAUAGGGCUAAUUAUUGGACUUGUUCCUAAAAAAAAAAAAAAAAAAAAAAAAAAAAAAACUAUUUAAAAUAUCUCCAUAGUGACAAACCAAAAAGGUACACUGAUUGCCUUUUUUGAAAGUCAAUAUUGUACACAAAUGAGUGAAAAUGAAAUUAAACAUGGCAUUUUUUUGGGGGGGGGUCGGCCUGUUCCAUGCAAUUCAAUUAAUGUAACAUAACCACAGAAUAUGUUUACAUCUAGUCUAUUUUUGGUUUUGUUUUAGUAAAAUUUAAUAGACAUUUUGAAUUUUUUUUCUUUCAUACCCAACUAUAACUUAUUAUUCAGUGUCUUCUCCGCUUAGCUGGGCGAUAACACGUGGUAACAUCCAUUAUCGACUCGAGUUAACAAAUACGGUUCAUUUUCAUUUUCAUAUUGCACUGCCUGACAAAAUGUAAUGGCGUGGAAUGGAUAGGUUUCCAAUUACGCCAUCUUGCGUGUCGUAGAGGUCAAAAAACACGGGCGACAGGUAAAGCGUGAAUUUUUUUUUUUUUCCCCAUCGUUAAUUUAUCCGAUUGAUCUAACGGUGGUUGUGGUGGUGACACACAAGAUGGCGUAAUUGGAAACCUAUCCAUUGAUCGGCACCAAUGAAGUCACUGAUAGUGUAGUGGUACACACGCUUGCCUUUGGUGCGGGCAGCGUGGGGUCGAUUCCCGCUCAGUGAUGGUGUUGAUAUCUGUCUGGCGACCAGUUCAGGGUGGAGUCCGGCCUUUUACCCGAAGCUAGCUGGGACAGGCUCCAGCUUUCCCGCAGCCCUUGUGAGGAUAAGCGGCUUGGAUAAAGACAUGAUUGACAUCAAAAUUUUGUGUUUUCCAUCGUCUAUUAAAGAGGGCUCUCAUUUAAAAAAAAAAAAAAUGUGCAUACACAGUUCAAUACAAAAGUGCUGUUUGUGUUGCCAAAAAAUGAAGAUCAGGUCACUUGUUGAUUUCAAAAUGAUGUCAAGAGAUGUAAACAUAACCGGUCCCACCUUCACCCAAGAGUCAAAUUGUCUUAAAAAGUCUUCUGAGCUGACUGCACUGUGGAAUGUGUACCAAGAGCAAUUCUUAUGGAAGAUUUGUCCGUGUAUGUAUGUCAAUCAUGUCUGAUUGCAAGCACCUGAUGUGUGGGUGUGCAACACCGCACUGCAAGCACAACAACACGCCGCUGGUUUGGUGACUAACUCCUGAAAAAGAACAUUUGGAGAUUU